CACUAAGAGUUUUCCUAAAGCUGCCUGAGAGUGCUGUCAGUUAAUGUUAAUUAUUUUUAAGAUGUGUUGACAACAUAUUUGUUGUAUGGAGGAACAGAAGUGAUAAAACAUUUGAAAUGAAAGAAGCUUUCACAAAUAAACUCAUUGGGUCUAAAGUUUAAUAUCGAUCAAGUCAGUUCAACAUCUGUGCAUUUCCUGGAUAUACAAAUAGAUCUAAUGCUAACACAGUUCAAUGCCAAAGUUUAUAGAAAACUGACUUAUGUCAGUUUUCUAUAAACUUCGACCAUGCUGGGAUGUCUCUAUGAUCAUCCCAGCAUGAUCGACAGAUGAUCAUAGUUACAAGUGGGUGGCAUUUAGAUUGUACUUUAAAUACAUAACAACACAUUGUUCCAUGACCCAAGCUAAGAAUGAAAAAUUUAACAAGAUCAUAAAAGAAGGAAAAGCCCAUGGGUAUAAUUUUAGAUUUAUGAAGGUAAUUUAUGAUAAAGUCUUAAAAGCAAAUAGUGCUAAUAAUUGGAAUAGGCAAGUAGAGCAAUCCUAUACAUCCCAACAAGGCCAUCACCAAAAUGAACAAACAUCUAAAUUUCUGCAAGUGCCAUCAACAAUUAGGGAAAUUGCCUGCAAUAAAUAAGUUAGCAGGAAAUCAAGAGCUAAAACUAGCAUAUAGAAGAAAUGCUACAAUCUUCCAAUACUUAUGAAAUCACAAGGACUCUAUUUCCCAGAUCAAAGAGCCAGAGUAUAUGUUUUGCCUUUAUAAAGAUCUUAACUGACAAGAGGAG
rnacentral:lncRNA from 1 species